GUGCUUCUGUGGUGAACACACGAGUGUGUGAGGCGUGUGCUGAAUGGCAUCGUGAAGGCGCAGGAUGUCCACAGUGUGCCUGCAGUGGGGGUUAUCCCCACCCCACUCUCCCCCAAGAACGGACAAGAUGGAGGGGCUCCCAGAAGGACCCUGUCCCUGGAGCCCGGCCAGGGCUGGGGGCACGGGGUACAAAGUAGGGCCCAGCACGUCUCUCUCUAAGCAAGACUCACUUCCAGCCUGCCCAGGAGAUGGCAGCGCUGCUCUCUCCUCGAGGGCCUGGGGACUCAGAGUUAGCAACCCGAGGACACAGGAGUCAUCUCCAACCCCUCUUGCAGACAAGAGCACAGACAGGCUGAGUGACUUGCCCAGGCUCACUUAGCUCAUCAGGGUUGGGCCCAGGACAAUGACACGUGGACAUCCUCAACAAUGCUUGAUAUGGUGGUCGAUUUGUAAACAUUCAAUAGGAAUAUCAUGAUAAAAAUGGCCGGCACCCAAAUGCCAGGUACGAUGCUGGGGUCUUUAUAUAUUUCUUCCCAUUUCUUCCUCCAAACCAGCCCAGGAGGCAAGAAUUAUUAUCAUCCCCAUCUUAAGGGUGAGAAGUUGAGGCUCAGGGAGUCAGACAAGUAUGGGCCUCCAGCCAAGAUUUGAAUGUGAAGUUCUGUUUAACGUCAAAUUCCAUGUUUUUCCCGCACCUCCUUUGUAAUGUUUUCCUGAGCAGGCACUCAAGAAGAAAGUAUUGAAUUCCAUCAAUGUCAUCUUUAAAGAAUAAUAUUUCUUGAUUUUAGUUUAAAAUCAGUGACAUGGAGCCCCCAAGACACUGCAAGCAGAAAAGUGCCUUGAGGGCAGAAAGCAGGAACUCCUGUUGACAGCAGAGCUAGCUCAGUGUGUGCACACAGUUGGAGCUCAACGAAUAUGCGAUGAUGGGUCAUCAAACUCGACUAUCCUGGUCCUUGGGGAUUUGCAGGCAGUAGGACCGUGUCAGUCAGUUGGGACAGGAUGAGAGGGGAUGGCAUUGGUACUCAGUCGGUGAUAGUCAAGUCCCAGCCUCCUAGAUUGGGAGUCACGUAACUCAUUGCAGAGCCCCUUGCCUCCCACUCCCCCAGGUUCCUGACCUAAAAAAUGAGUCUGAGUCCAGCUGUCUGAUUCUAUCAGAAGCCGGUCCCUGCCGCCCUCAACCUCUGCAGGAGACACAAGCUCAUUGAGUUUCUGUGGAUGGACCGUGCACCCAAGUCAUGCUCCGUGCCACGGGAGUCCAGACUCUCCAAAGAAUGGCCCAGGCCCCUUAGAGUUCACCCUUGAACUUUAGAGGUCUAUGGAGCAUCGGGAAGGGGAGGGAAGUUCUCAAACCCUUCACUCUCCUCAGGCUUCCACGAGCCAGUUCACUCACCAAAGGUUGCCAGACAAACCUGUCAUUUUCUGCAUUCUUUGCUGGCAUUCCCUCCUUAUUUGAGCCAGUCCCAAAGGACAGUGUUCUGCACCCACCUGCUCACUGGAACUCCCUCUCCCACUUCGGUUCAGCAACCCACUGUGGGUUCACCCCCGGGCCACGCUGGUGGAGUGGUGCAAGGACCUGGGGGUAUUGUGGUGAACAGAUUGUAGACUGCCCUCAUGAGCUCACAUCUCAACUCUCAGGUCCCUGAAGUCUCGCCUUGAGCCAACUCAGAGGGGAAAGACAGACCUGCUGCCCUGGCUGCCCACAAAGGAGUUUGAUGAAGUAACAAAGUCCCUGGUGGGGGAGGAGAGCCUCGGAGCUGAUGGCCAGCCCUAGCUUGCACAAUUCCUGAAAACUUAACAAUCGGCUCUCCCCAGCCGGUGUAGGUCAUCUCCAGUGUGCC
ensembl:lncRNA